UGGGGGACCACCCUCCAAGCCUAAGUACUCCUCUACGACCGAUAGUGAACAAGUACCGUGAGGGAAAGGUGAAAAGCACCCGGACAAGGGGAGUGAAACAGAUCCUGAAAUCGGAAGCCUACAAGCAGUCGGAGCCGCCAAGCGCGGUGACGGCGUACCUUUUGUAUAAUGGGUCAGCGACUUCAUGUGUCGAGCAAGCUUAAGCCGUUAGGUGUAGGCGCAGCGAAAGCGAGUCUGAAUAGGGCGCUAAGUUCGACGUAUGACGACCCGAAACCAGGUGAUCUAUCCAUGAGCAGGAUGAAGGUUGGGUAACACCAACUGGAGGUCCGAACCGGUGACUGUUGAAAAAGCCUCGGAUGACUUGUGGAUAGGGGUGAAAGGCCAAUCAAACCUGGACAUAGCUGGUUCUCCGCGAAAUCUAUUUAGGUAGAGCGUCCGACGAAUUCCUUGGGGGGUAGAGCACUGGAUGGUUGCGGGCUGCGCGAGCGGUACCAAUACUAACCAAACUCCGAAUACCCAAGAGAACUAUCGGGCAGACACACGGCGGGUGCUAACGUCCGUCGUGAAAAGGGAAACAACCCUAACCAUCAUCUAAGGCCCCCAAGUCACGGCUAAGUGGGAAACGAUGUGGGAUUGCUUUGACAAUCAGGAGGUUGGCUUAGAAGCAGCCAUCCUUUAAAGAAAGCGUAACAGCUCACUGAUCAAGCGAUCCUGCGCGGAAAAUGUWACGGGGCUCAAGCCGUGCGCCGAAGAUAUGGGUUUGCAGUUUACUGCAAGCGGUAGCGGARCGU
rnacentral:rRNA from 1 species